rnacentral:rRNA from 1 species
AAUGGGCGAGAGCCUGAACCAGCCAAGUCGCGUGAAGGAAGAAGGUUCUAUGGAUUGUAAACUUCUUUUGCAUGGGAAUAAAGUGAGCUACGUGUAGUUUAUUGUAUGUACCAUGCGAAUAAGGAUCGGCUAACUCCGUGCCAGCAGCCGCGGUAAUACGGAGGAUCCGAGCGUUAUCCGGAUUUAUUGGGUUUAAAGGGUGCGUAGGCGGGAAAUUAAGUCAGUGGUGAAAGUUUGCAGCUCAACUGUAAAAUUGCCAUUGAAACUGAUUUUCUUGAGUGUAAAUAAGGUAGGCGGAAUGUGUUGUGUAGCGGUGAAAUGCAUAGAUAUAACACAGAACCCCGAUUGCGAAGGCAGCUUACCGGGCUACAACUGACGCUGGGGCACGAAAGCGUGGGGAUCAAA